rfam:Anolis carolinensis unplaced genomic scaffold chrTn0163, whole genome shotgun sequence.
AUUAAUGGCAGGUAGAGUCUAAAUAAAGGCACCAAUUGCAUUUGAUCUUGGAUGCUAAGCAGGGCCAGCCCUGGUUAGUACUUGGAUGGGGGACCAUCAAUGAAUACCAGGCGUUGUAAGCU